UGUUCUUGACACUUUUUAGAAGAGUAAAAGGGGCCAUUUCGUGGACGCCGGGUAAGGUGGAGCAAACAGUGGGAGUCCGACCUGAAGGGAGCGGGAAGCGGGACGGUCCAUCGGAGCGUGAGGACUUGAGCCUCGCACUUCAACUCUAGAUUUCGAAAUGCAUCGUGAUUCCUGUCCGUUGGACUGUAAGGUUUAUGUAAGUAAUCUUGGAAACAAUGGCAACAAGACUGAAUUGGAACGGGCUUUUGGCUAUUAUGGACCACUUCCAAGCGUGUGGGUUGCUAGAAACCCUCCCGGCUUUGCUUUUGUUGAAUUUGAAGAUCCUGGAGACGCAGCUGAUUCUGUCCGAGAGCUGGAUGGAAGGACACUGUGUGAGAGUGCAACUGUCCAAUGGUGAAAAAAGAGUAGAAAUCGUGGCUCACCUCCCUCUUGGGGUCGUCGCCCUCGAGAUGAUUAUCGUAGGAGGAGUCCUCCACCCCACUGCAGAUCUCCAAGGAGGAGAAGAUUCUCUCGCAGCCGGAGCAGGUCCCUUUCCAGAGACAGGAUAAGAGAGAUCACUGUCUUGGGAGAGAAAUCAUAAGCCCUCCCCAUCCUUCUCUAGGCCUCGAAGCCGAUCUAGGUCAAAUGAAAGGAAAUAGAAGACCAGUUUGCAAGAGAAGUGGUGUACAGGAGAUAACUUCAUUUGACAGGAGUAUGUACAGAAAUUUCAAGUUUUGUUUGAGACUUCAUAAGCUUGGUGCAUUUUUAAGAUGUUUUAGCUGUUCAAAUUUGUUUGUCUCUUGGAACAGUGACACAAAAAGUAUAAUUCUCUAUGGUUUGAAAUGGAUCAUAUGAGGCAUGUAAUACCAAGAAUUGUUACUUUACAGUGUUCCCUUAAGCAAAAUUGAAUUUGCUUUGAAUUUUAGUUUUUCAUAGACUGAUAAUAAACCUCUAAAUCCUGCCCACCUAAACUGUGAUUUAUUUUUUUUAUACAUAGAAACAAAACUGGCAAAUUGAAUGAAGAUUUACUUUUUCCCCCAUGUCUGGGAUAUUGUAUGCAACUAUAGUUGAACAAGCAGUCUUUAUAAAGCUGCUGUAAAACAAGCCAGCAGCUACAUCAUUGUUCUAAAUUAGAGGUUUAUGAAAAAUCCAACUAGUUUUCACCCUGGGCAGAGAUUGCCUACUACUAUAGAAUCUGAUAAAUUCUAAGAAAGUUUUCUUUGCUUUAGGAAAGAAAAUAAGUUCCUUAUGUAAUAGUUAUAUAUCAAAAUACCAAUGUCCUGCCAGUUUAAGGGUACAUUGUAGAGCCGAACUUUGAGUUACUGUGCAAGAUAUUUUUUUGUAUGCUGUCAUUUGUAAUAUGUUUUAUGAGAAUCCUUCGGAUUAAAGUUUUGGUUACAAUUGUU